AUAGAUAGUUACAUCCACCUAAGUAGUUUGAUCAGUCAACAUAGUGAUGAAGCCAUAAUAACAUCUACCUCGGAAGGGCUGGAUGAAGGUGAAGUGGAGAGAGAGACUCCCCUGAUUGUCAAAUUGGAGGAUCAGACAUCAGUAGACUUAUGUCAUGACUACAGCAGGGAUUCCCUAACAGCGAUGAAGAAGAUGUAUUGUGGAUGGAGAAGCAGCUGUCCUGCUUCUGUGACAAGUACCAAAAAUGGAUACCAACCAGACAGCUGAAGGGACAGCUCAGUUACGUUAAGGGUGAUAAUUUUUUUAGAUUUACUUUUUCUGAUUGCUCAGCAGAUGGCAAGGAACAGUAUGAAAGGCUGAGGCUGACAUAGCAGCAAAGUCAUCAUGUUGGCAAUGUACAACUUGUCUCUGGAAGGAAGUGGACAUCAAGGUUAUUUCAGAUAGAACGAAGAUAUCUGCAUUUUUAUUGGGAAACAUUGGACUUUUUUGCUAGGGAAAAAUAAAAAGACUUCAAACUAAUGGAGCACAGUAGCAGGUUGCCUCAGUAUGGAAAAUCCCAUAUACUUCUGUUCAGGUGCUCAGGAAUUUGGAUAACCAGGAUGGUAGAAACUUGUUCAUAAGAAACCCUCAACAUUGAAACCUGAAGGAAAAAAAGUUGUCUGCCUCAAGUUUGAAGUAAAAGCCGCCUCAAAACCAACUUUAGAUCCCAUCUUUACUGUUCAGGGACUUAGAAAACAGGCAAGUUAGAAUCCUGUGGAAUCUGCCAUGGAAUUAAAAGAGAAAAGGUCUUGAGCUCAGGAAGCAAAAGACAGAAGAGGCCAGAAGGAAGUGGCUGGCUUUCUUGACAGGAGUAUGUCUUCUAUCCCUGUAAAAUCCAUAAGCCAAGGCCACAAGGCAGAUCUGAUUCUUGAAAAAGAAGAGAUUGACUUUUCAUCUUUGAGCUCCUCUGACCACACCCUGUUGACAAGCCCAUCUACUUCUCCUCUGGAUUUCUCGGCGCCCCCCCGCCCCUCCCAGGACAGCUGCCUCUCAUUGGGCAAUGCCUGGUUUUCUUUUAGAAGCAGAUCUGAUUCCAGAUGUAAUGCCCCCACAAGCUUUGUUCCAUGAUGAUGAUGAGAUGGAAGGCAAUGGAGCCAUAGACGCAGGGAUGGAGUAUGUC
rnacentral:lncRNA from 1 species